AACGAACGCUGGCGGCAUGCCUAACACAUGCAAGUCGAACGAGACCUUCGGGUCUAGUGGCGCACGGGUGCGUAACGCGUGGGAACCUGCCCUUAGGUUCGGAAUAACUCCCCGAAAGGGGUGCUAAUACCGGAUAAUGUCUUCGGACCAAAGAUUUAUCGCCUUUGGAUGGGCCCGCGUUGGAUUAGCUAGUUGGUAGGGUAAAAGCCUACCAAGGCGACGAUCCAUAGCUGGUCUGAGAGGAUGAUCAGCCACACUGGGACUGAGACACGGCCCAGACUCCUACGGGAGGCAGCAGUGGGGAAUAUUGGAAAAUGGGCGAAAGCAUGAUCCAGCAAUGCCGCGUGAGUGAUGAAGGCCUUAGGGUUGUAAAGCUCUUUUACCCGGGAUGAUAAUGACAGUACCGGGAGAAUAAGCGCCGGCUAACUCCGUG
rnacentral:rRNA from 1 species